AGUGAACGCUGGCGGUAGGCCUAACACAUGCAAGUCGAACGGCAGCACAGUAAGAGCUUGCUCUUACGGGUGGCGAGUGGCGGACGGGUGAGGAAUACAUCGGAAUCUACUUUUUCGUGGGGGAUAACGUAGGGAAACUUACGCUAAUACCGCAUACGACCUACGGGUGAAAGCAGGGGAUCUUCGGACCUUGCGCGAUUGAAUGAGCCGAUGUCGGAUUAGCUAGUUGGCGGGGUAAAGGCCCACCAAGGCGACGAUCCGUAGCUGGUCUGAGAGGAUGAUCAGCCACACUGGAACUGAGACACGGUACAGACCCCUACGGGAGGCAGCAGUGGGGAAUAUUGGACAAUGGGCGCAAGCCUGAUCCAGCCAUACCGCGUGGGUGAAGAAGGCCUUCGGGUUGUAAAGCCCUGUUGUUGGGAAAGAAAAGCAGCAGGUUAAUACCCCGCUGUUCUGACGGUACCCAAAGAAUAAGCACCGGCUAACUUCGUG
rnacentral:rRNA from 1 species